AUGGCACUGAAGAUCUGCUCAGUCGUGCGUUGUGCCAGAACCAGCGGGCAACGGUGGCGAGUCACACUGCCCUGGGCGGGCGACGAUGUGCUGCUGCCGAUGGUAGGCAGGCCGGUCCUAUGUGUGGCUGCACCUGGUCAUGUUCUUGGUAUGGUGCGGGCUAGCAUGGUGUCGGAUGGUACUGUUGGUUGUCUUUCCACUCGUCUUAGCAGGUUGUUGUGGCGCGCUUCCAUAGUAGUACAAAGUUGGGUCACUUAUUUUGAGACGGAGGGAGUAGUUGCCAGUACCUCCGUGUGCAGAUGGCAGCUGUGGAGGUGGCUUCCUCUCUACGCCUUGUCUUGCUGUUAA
rnacentral:rRNA from 1 species